AUUUGGGCCCACAGCAUGACUCCACCUCCUCCUUGCUGACAUCACAGCAGUGUUGGGACAUGAUGUCCGUCCAGCACCGUCCACGACUGCGUCCAUCUGGACCAUCCAGGGCUGGACAGCCGUCAUCAGUGAACAAGUCUGAAAAUGAAUCUUCAUACCCAGCUGGGCCCAAUGCCACUGGGUCUGCUUGUGAGCAGCUUGGGGGCCAAAUAGCAAGUUAGGGGUCCAGUAGCAGGUUGGGGGCCCAGUAGCAGGUUGGGGCCCCAGUAGCAGGUUGGGGGCCUAGUAGCAGAUUAGGGGCCAGUAGCAGGUUGGGG